GCGGCGUGCCUUACACAUUGCAAGUCGAACGAACUUCGGGUUAGUGGCGGACGGGUGAGUAACGCGAUCUGCCCUCAGGAGGGGGACAACAGUUGGAAACGACUGCUAAUACCCCAUAUGCCGCGAGGUGAAAUGAAUUUCGCCUGAGGAUGAGCUCGCGUCUGAUUAGCUAGUUGGUGUAGUAAUGGCUCACCAAGGCAUCGAAUCAGUAGCUGGUCUGAGAGGAUGAUCAGCCACACUGGGACUGAGACACGGCCCAGACUCCUACGGGAGGCAGCAGUGGGGAAUUUUCCGCAAUGGGCGAAAGCCUGACGGAGCAAACGCCGCGUGAGGGAUGAAGGCCUCUGGGCUGUAAACCUCUUUUAUCCAAGGAAGAAGAUCUGACGGUACUUGAUGAAUAAGCCACAGGCCUAAUUCCGUGCCAACAAGCCGCGGUAAUACGGGAGUGGCAAGCGUUUAUCCGGACUUAUUGGGGCCGUAAAAAGCGGU
rnacentral:rRNA from 1 species